UCCUACGGGACGCAGCAGUGGGGGAUAUUGGACAAUGGGGGAAACCCUGAUCCAGCGACGCCGCGUGAGUGAAGAAGUAUUUCGGUAUGUAAAGCUCUGUCAGCAGGGAAGAAAGAAAUGACGGUACCUGACCAAGAAGCCCCGGCUAACUACGUGCCAGCAGCCGCGGUAAUACGUAGGGGGCAAGCGUUAUCCGGAAUUACUAGGUGUAAAGGGAGCGUAGACGGCAUGGCAAGUCAGAUGUGAAAGCCCGGGGCUCAACCCCGGGACUGCAUUUGAAACUGUCAGGCUGGAGUGCAGGAGAG
rnacentral:rRNA from 1 species